rnacentral:rRNA from 1 species
ACGGAGGGGGCAAGCGUUGUUCGGAAUUACUGGGCGUAAAGGGCGCGCAGGCGGCUGCUCAAGUCAGGCGUGAAAGGCCUGGGCUCAACCCGGGAAUUGCGCUUGAGACUGGGCUGGCUUGAGUGCGGGAGAGGAUGGUGGAAUUCCCAGUGUAGAGGUGAAAUUCGUAGAUAUUGGGAAGAACACCGGUGGCGAAGGCGGCUCUCUGGGACGGUACUGACGCUGAGACGCGAAAGCGUGGGGAGCGAACAGGA